GGUGAGGUGGCCGAGUGGCUGAAGGCGCAUGCUUGGAAAGCUUGUAUAUGUAAUAAACAUAUCAUGGGUUCGAAUCCCUUCCUCACCU
rnacentral:tRNA from 1 species